UAGUAAAAGUAAAAUAUAAAUAGUUAUUUUUAUUAAAAUAGUUAUUAUAAAAUGGCUAUUUUCCCCAGUCACCUGAACACAUCCUUCAUUCACAUUUUUGUGCAGGAGUCACAUGGUAGUCUCAGUGAAGGCUUAACCAAUCAUGGCACUUAAGAGCGUUUAUAAGCUGCGGUGAGUUUCCCCAAUCAGUAGGGUGAGGGGGAAGCCACCGGAGCAGCUGCACUCGGUAUGUCUCUACACAAACAAAGCUAUUUUUCGUUUGGUUUUCAUCUAAAAUGCUUGGUUAACUCUAGCAUGCGAUCCUGCACUUGUAGUGUUCACCAUCGUUGUCUUUAGAAGCCGACUGGUGCCGCUGUGCGUCGCGAAUAUCUGCGGGAAUUGGCCAGGUGCGGCCAGUUGCGGGCCAGUUGAUGGCGAGCCAUUAUUACUUGGAACAGAACCUGCCCCAACAACAUCAUCAGGCCCUGUGGGUUUGGUAGGAGGCUGUGCAGUCUGCUCAUCCCCUCCACUCGCAUACACAUACACACACACACACAGCCAUUCACUAAGCUCUGGCUUAUGGACUACUUGCGUCUCAUGGACCAUUUGUGUUAUCAGGACGUGGUGUUCAUUUUUUAUGAACAACGAAUAUAGUCCUAUAGUGUGUUAUGAAUUGUCUUUGAUCUGAGUACUCUUUAAUUCCUGAGUUGUAUUUUGUUUUGUUUUCCUUGUGAAUUAUUGAAUUUCUCUGCAGAUUGGAAAUAUUUUGGGAUAUUGUUAUUGUUGUUUGUCUUUGUUUCACUUAAUACAUGGUACCAACACCAAAAUUAAAUGAUCUGUCUCCGUGUUAUUAUUUACUUUUUCAACACCUCCUUAAGAUUAACUUUAUCUUCCGUAGCCCAAUCAUUAUUUAACUUUUUAUAGCUAUAUCCAUCUGCUAUUUAACACAUGCACCUCGUGUGUAUGCUACAAAAGCAUCGCUUGUAAGUUGUAUUUGAGUUUAUAGUUAAUUAUGUUGAUACCUAUGUCAUGUAAAACUUUCUGCAAUGUUCUUGAAUAUUUAUUUGUUUACACAUGAAAACUGCUAUUGUAUAGCCUUUCAGUGAAGAGGUCGUCAAUAGUUUGUUAGUUUAGCUGUUGAGCUGCACAUACUAUAUUUACUAUAAAUUAUAAGUUUUUUACAGUUUUAAGCAUAUUAGCUGAAUGUAAUAUAUGUGUUACAACUUUGUAGCUUAAAGGUAUAUUAUUUCAUGUCUGUUAAUGUAUGACAUGUUUGGAUAGCAUUCAGUGAUUGGUGCUAUCUUUCUGUAUCAUUUCAGUUUUACAAAGAUUCCUUCAUGAGAAUUAAGACAACAGUAAAGAGCCUUGAACUUUA